rnacentral:lncRNA from 1 species
UCUUCUUUGUCCAUUCAGAAUUUUUAAUUUGGUUAGUAAAAAAUGAGUAAUAAUUUAAACCUGAUCUUGAGACAGUUUAAGAAAAAAAACUCUUAAUUCUUGAAUUCAUUUCAUGCCAUCUUUAAUAAAAGAGUUAAUGCAGAUUCCUUCUGUUUACUGAAAUGAAGUGAGAAGUUUAUGGUUCUUACAUAUUUGAAUAGUCCCAACACCAGACACACAAAAUGUUAUAAUGUAUUUUAAUCAUUACAGCACCACGUUAUUAUUAUAAACCAUUUCAAUAACACUCAGUAUAGAACUCAGUGAAGAGCACUACUACUAUGCACUGUCAAAUAUUUCUGGUGGUAUUGGGAACUGACUACAGUGUUUUAUUUAUUUUUUCUUAAAUCAAAACUUAACUUACGCAUUCUGAACUUGUACAUAAUACACAAGAUUGUACAUCCAUAUAGUCUGCAGGAACAUUCACUCGUUUUUUUUCUGGUUUGUAUACAAGAGUAAAUUUUCUAUAACAAUAUGAAAGAAAAUUAAUAACUUAUGUAUCUAGCUAGGCGUUUAGUAUUUAUUUUUAAUCAUAUUAAUCAAAAGAUGACUGAAAAAAUCGAAGUUAAAUAUUGUGAAGUGCACAAAAUCUAAAAUAUAGGGACUUUCCACAGUACAUUAUACUAAAUCAACAUAUAACAGACUCAAAGCUUAAAAGCCAAAAUCUUCAUUUAAAAAUUUAGUGUUUCUGACAUCAUUUUCCACCAUUCCAUCAGCUCUUCUUUUUCCUCUUCUUUUCUUUCAGACAACGACUCCAGUUCAAAAUCAACCACAACAGCAGGACUAAAGGGCACAGCUACUUUUUUAGUUAUUGCUAGAUAACCUGGUGCUGAGGCUGUGAGUUUGUAGUUUCCAGGCACAAGCAGUCUCCAGUAAUCACCAUCCUUGGCUGAUGUAAUGUCAUGGCUUAUCCCCUCCACAGAAAUUGUAGCAUUUGCUAUUGGAUUGCCCUGAAGAUCUUUAACAAAACCCUUCACUCCUCGGUGAAUCUGCUCAAUGUAAUUGAUGAGGGAGUUCUUGUUGUCCUCCCAAUAGCCCUUCAGAGUUUCUUCAGGUGGGAAUUUUUCACAGCUAAGCUCCACUGUGAUUUCAAAGCAGUUGCUGCUGAGGUAAUUGAAGUCCUGCAUUCCUCCUGGGACACUGUACCAUGCACCUCCAUUGGUCGUUCCAUCCACAAAGCUGCUGUCAUCGUCAUUUUUACGACAUGGUGGUCUGUUUGGAUCAGACAUGGCGGGGUUUAAAGAAGAGUAACUGCGAGCCAGGCUUUGAAAAAUAGCAUCAUCAGGGCAGGAGCUGUAUUCAUGAGCACUGCCACUCCGAGUCUCAUCAUAAGGGUAAUUUGCAACAAGGUCUCCUCCAUGAAGAUUGGCAGAGAGCACAAAGGGAAUAUCCAUAAUCCAGUGAAUGACACCUUUCGUUUCAGGAGCAAGCUUGGGAUUCUGGUCCACAGCCUUCUUCAUGUUUUUCAGGAGGUGAUUGUUUGGGCCACCUUCCUUCUCAUUAACAUAGACUAUCCUAUCCAGAUCAGGGAAAUUUCGGUUUAGAUCUAUCCCCUGGGCAUUACUUCGACCAACAAACCAGUCUUUAAGUUCACCAGGCUGUGAUGCUGCCUUCUCAAAGCCAUCUGGAUUCAAAGAUGGCAUGAUAUGGAUACGUGUGCUAUGGAUCAGGUUGAUAAUAGUUUCAUUGCCUUUCUGGUAUUCAUUACACAAGUACUGAGCCAAGAAGAUGAGCAGCUCCCUUCCAACAGCUUCAUUCCCAUGCAUAUUCCCAACAUAUUUAAAUUCUGGCUCUCCGGGCUCGUGCUCGCCGGGCCGGUCGGACACCUCGAUGACCAGCAGCUCGCGGCCCUCGGAGCUGCGCCCCACCGUGUAGAUCCUGCUGAUGGCCGGGCACUGCAGCCACACGGCCACCAGCGCCUCCCGCAGCUCGGCGUAGCGGUGGUACUCGAAGGAGAUGCCCUCCUCGGCGCUCAGCCGCCGCCGCCGGCUGCUGCCCCCCGCCGCGGGCUCGGCCGCCCGGCAGGCGACGAGCAGCGCGCCCAGCGCCAGCAGCAACAGCCGCAGCUCCCGCGCCGCCAUCCCGCCCGGCUCCUCCGCCUGCGGCCGCGCAGCUGCCGCCCGCCCGGCGGGAGGGGGAGAGAGGGCGGGCGGGCGAGCGGGCGGGGAGGGGCCGCGCCGGGCCGGGAGCGGCCGCCGGUGCCCGCGGCGGGC